rnacentral:lncRNA from 1 species
UUUUUUUAAAAUAUACUGCAGUGCCAACAAAGAAUGUGCAAUGACAAGAAAUGAGUUAUUGUUUGAAAAUCAAAAAUGUUAAAUGUUCACAUUGUUUUUAUUUGAACAGCAAUUUUCAGAUCUCAGGACAAGUUUUCUUUGGAACACAUUAUAAAUUUUUGUUUUUCAAAUGAUUUCAACUGACAUAAACAAGACUGGAAAGGUCGAAAUUACCAAAAUGCUAAUUUCACUAUUAUUGGUUCUUUUGUCGUGCCCAGCUCUUAAUGAUGGAAAACCCUGUAUCACAGUAACAUUCCUUUAAAUGAACUGGAGAAGUCUUGAUUACAAUAAUCAUAUUGCUUUUUACUUUUCAACACUAUUGGAUCUUGUGUCAUACCAGCUUUAGAUGGUGGAUGGAGUAUAUGGAGGUGUUAAGAAUUGCACAAGAGGUGUUCCUGCUACCUCUCUAUAUGUAGACAAUGUCACUGUUGUUGUGACGUUCUUAUUUCUAAGCCUUAAUUUAUGUCCGUUACAACGCCCUUAGGGAGGAAAACUACACCCUCAAAUGGACUGUAGAAGUCCAGAUUACAAUAAUGGUACUUUCAGCACCAUUGCACGGUUUGGUUGUCUUGCCCAGCUCUUAAUGGUCCAAAAUGCUGUACAAUGGAUUAUGAUUUAAAAAUUGAAGAUAAAAGAUUAAGUUUUGAAUAUAUCUACUUUUUUUCUUUGAAGAUGGCAAAUCAAAUUAUUAAUUCAUUAAAAAUUCAGAAUAACUCAAAUCUUUACACCACACAAACGCGACAACAAAGAAUGUGCAAUGAAAAGAAUUGAGUUAUUGUUUGAAACAUCAAAAAUGUUAAAGUUUCACGCAUUGUUUUUUAUUUGAACAGCAAUUUUCAGAUCUCAGGACAAGUUUUCUUUGGAACACACUCAGGACAAGUUAUCUUUGGAAGACAUUAUAAAUUUCUGUUUUGCAAAAGAUUAAAAGUUUUGGAUACUUUCUUUUUUUCUUUGAAGAUAACAAAUCUAAUUAUUAAUUCAUUAAAAAUUCAGACUAACCCAAUUGUUUACACCACACAAACUUUCCGGAGGUAACAUAUUUAUUUUUUGUCCAUUCUUUUUUCUUUCUUUUUUUCUUUUUUUUAAAAUAUACUGCAGUGCCAACAAAGAAUGUGCAAUGACAAGAAAUGAGUUAUUGUUUGAAAAUCAAAAAUGUUAAAUGUUCACAUUGUUUUUAUUUGAACAGCAAUUUUCAGAUCUCAGGACAAGUUUUCUUUGGAACACAUUAUAAAUUUUUGUUUUUCAAAUGAUUUCAACUGACAUAAACAAGACUGGAAAGGUCGAAAUUACCAAAAUGCUAAUUUCACUAUUAUUGGUUCUUUUGUCGUGCCCAGCUCUUAAUGAUGGAAAACCCUGUAUCACAGUAACAUUCCUUUAAAUGAACUGGAGAAGUCUUGAUUACAAUAAUCAUAUUGCUUUUUACUUUUCAACACUAUUGGAUCUUGUGUCAUACCAGCUUUAGAUGGUGGAUGGAGUAUAUGGAGGUGUUAAGAAUUGCACAAGAGGUGUUCCUGCUACCUCUCUAUAUGUAGACAAUGUCACUGUUGUUGUGACGUUCUCAUUUCUAAGCCUUAAUUUAUGUCCGUUACAACGCCCUUAGGGAGAAAAACUACACCCUCAAAUGGACUGUAGAAGUCCAGAUUACAAUAAUGGUACUUUCAGCACCAUUGCACGGUUUGGUUGUCUUGCCCAGCUCUUAAUGGUCCAAAAUGCUGUACAAUGGAUUAUGUUUUAAAAAUUGAAGAUAAAAGAUUAAGUUUUGAAUAUCUUCUUUUUUUCUCUGAAGAUGGCAAAUCAAAUUAUUAAUUCACGAGCUCUAGAUAAUAAAAAUAUCAGGUGUUAAAGUUUGGAGGUAUAAACAAGUCAUUCUCAAUCAAAAUAUUGCAAAAUUGUAAUGUUAGCGGAUUUUCUCAUUGUUGAAGCCCAUACAGUAACCUAUUUUACAUUAACAUCAUUUGGUCUCUGUAGGAUAGUUGUCUCACAUCUCUUGAUAUCACAACAAAUCAAUUUGUAGGUUCUAUAAAGUGGGCCAAUGGUGAAGGUAGGGGAAAUUUUGACUGUCAAUCGAGGAGGAAAUUAUUGGACAGAAAUUUGGCCUAACGCAACAAGCCAAGUCCUACUAACACCUCAAAAGAGUUGUGACAAGGGUUCUUCAACGUGCAGAGUUGCACUGUCCCUACAGAAAGGACCUAUACUUUUUAAACUGCCAUUCCAAUUUUUUUUGUUUUAAAUAUGAGAACUUUAGAAGACUUAAAGGUGGGGGUCAUAAAAAUAUCAAAAUUAUCCCACCCUCAAUGUUUAUUAUCUAGAACUAUGUUUUCUAUUUUGCUUUCAUAUUAUUUUUUGGUAUUUUCUUUUUUAUAUUUUUUUUUCUUUUUUUUUUUACAAAGCUCUAGAUAAUAAAAAUAUCAGAUGUUAAAGUUUGGAGGUAUAAACAAGUCAUUCUAAAUCAGAAUAUUGCAAAAUUUUAAUGUUAGUGGAUUUUCUCAUUGUUGAAGCCCAUACAGUAACCUAUUUUACAUUAACAUCAUUUGGUCUCUGUAGGAUAGUUGUCUCACAUCUCUUGAUAUCACAACAAAUCAAUUUGUAGGUUCUAUAAAGUGGUCCAAUCCUAUGGUGAAGGGAGGGGGAAUUUUGACUGCCAACCGAAGAGGAUAUUUUUGGACAGAAAUUUAGCCUAUUAAUGCAACAAGCCACAUCCUACUGACACCUCAAAAGAGUUGUGACAAGGGUUCUUUAACGUGCAGAGUGGCACUGUCUGUCCCUACAAAUAGGACCUAUACUUUCCCGCUACCUCUAUGUGUAGACAACAUCACUGUUGUGACAUUCUUAUUUCUAAGCCUUAAUUUAUGUCCGUUACAACGCCCUUAGGGAGGAAAUAGUAGCAGAUAGUAGCAGAUAUUACUACACCCUCAAAUGGAUUGUAGAAGUCCAGUUUACAAUAAUGGUACUUUCAGCACCAUAACCUGCUUUGGUUGUCUUGUCCAGCUCUCAAUGGUCCAAAAUGCUGUACAAUGGAUUAUGAUUUAAAAAUUGAAGAUAAAAGAUUAAGUUUUGAAUAUAUCUACUUUUUUUCUUUGAAGAUGGCAAAUCAAAUUAUUAAUUCAUUAAAAAUUCAGAAUAACUCAAAUCUUUACACCACACAAACGCGACAACAAAGAAUGUGCAAUGAAAAGAAUUGAGUUAUUGUUUGAAACAUCAAAAAUGUUAAAGUUUCACGCAUUGUUUUUUAUUUGAACAGCAAUUUUCAGAUCUCAGGACAAGUUUUCUUUGGAACACACUCAGGACAAGUUAUCUUUGGAAGACAUUAUAAAUUUCUGUUUUGCAAAAGAUUAAAAGUUUUGGAUACUUUCUUUUUUUCUUUGAAGAUAACAAAUCUAAUUAUUAAUUCAUUAAAAAUUCAGACUAACCCAAUUGUUUACACCACACAAACUUUCCGGAGGUAACAUAUUUAUUUUUUGUCCAUUCUUUUUUCUUUCUUUUUUUCUUUUUUUUAAAAUAUACUGCAGUGCCAACAAAGAAUGUGCAAUGACAAGAAAUGAGUUAUUGUUUGAAAAUCAAAAAUGUUAAAUGUUCACAUUGUUUUUAUUUGAACAGCAAUUUUCAGAUCUCAGGACAAGUUUUCUUUGGAACACAUUAUAAAUUUUUGUUUUUCAAAUGAUUUCAACUGACAUAAACAAGACUGGAAAGGUCGAAAUUACCAAAAUGCUAAUUUCACUAUUAUUGGUUCUUUUGUCGUGCCCAGCUCUUAAUGAUGGAAAACCCUGUAUCACAGUAACAUUCCUUUAAAUGAACUGGAGAAGUCUUGAUUACAAUAAUCAUAUUGCUUUUUACUUUUCAACACUAUUGGAUCUUGUGUCAUACCAGCUUUAGAUGGUGGAUGGAGUAUAUGGAGGUGUUAAGAAUUGCACAAGAGGUGUUCCUGCUACCUCUCUAUAUGUAGACAAUGUCACUGUUGUUGUGACGUUCUCAUUUCUAAGCCUUAAUUUAUGUCCGUUACAACGCCCUUAGGGAGAAAAACUACACCCUCAAAUGGACUGUAGAAGUCCAGAUUACAAUAAUGGUACUUUCAGCACCAUUGCACGGUUUGGUUGUCUUGCCCAGCUCUUAAUGGUCCAAAAUGCUGUACAAUGGAUUAUGUUUUAAAAAUUGAAGAUAAAAGAUUAAGUUUUGAAUAUCUUCUUUUUUUCUCUGAAGAUGGCAAAUCAAAUUAUUAAUUCACGAGCUCUAGAUAAUAAAAAUAUCAGGUGUUAAAGUUUGGAGGUAUAAACAAGUCAUUCUCAAUCAAAAUAUUGCAAAAUUGUAAUGUUAGUGGAUUUUCUCAUUGUUGAAGCCCAUACAGUAACCUAUUUUACAUUAACAUCAUUUGGUCUCUGUAGGAUAGUUGUCUCACAUCUCUUGAUAUCACAACAAAUCAAUUUGUAGGUUCUAUAAAGUGGGCCAAUGGUGAAGGUAGGGGAAAUUUUGACUGUCAAUCGAGGAGGAAAUUAUUGGACAGAAAUUUGGCCUAACGCAACAAGCCAAGUCCUACUAACACCUCAAAAGAGUUGUGACAAGGGUUCUUCAACGUGCAGAGUUGCACUGUCCCUACAGAAAGGACCUAUACUUUUUAAACUGCCAUUCCAAUUUUUUUUGUUUUAAAUAUGAGAACUUUAGAAGACUUAAAGGUGGGGGUCAUAAAAAUAUCAAAAUUAUCCCACCCUCAAUGUUUAUUAUCUAGAACUAUGUUUUCUAUUUUGCUUUCAUAUUAUUUUUUGGUAUUUUCUUUUUUAUAUUUUUUUUUCUUUUUUUUUUUACAAAGCUCUAGAUAAUAAAAAUAUCAGAUGUUAAAGUUUGGAGGUAUAAACAAGUCAUUCUAAAUCAGAAUAUUGCAAAAUUUUAAUGUUAGUGGAUUUUCUCAUUGUUGAAGCCCAUACAGUAACCUAUUUUACAUUAACAUCAUUUGGUCUCUGUAGGAUAGUUGUCUCACAUCUCUUGAUAUCACAACAAAUCAAUUUGUAGGUUCUAUAAAGUGGUCCAAUCCUAUGGUGAAGGGAGGGGGAAUUUUGACUGCCAACCGAAGAGGAUAUUUUUGGACAGAAAUUUAGCCUAUUAAUGCAACAAGCCACAUCCUACUGACACCUCAAAAGAGUUGUGACAAGGGUUCUUUAACGUGCAGAGUGGCACUGUCUGUCCCUACAAAUAGGACCUAUACUUUCCCGCUACCUCUAUGUGUAGACAACAUCACUGUUGUGACAUUCUUAUUUCUAAGCCUUAAUUUAUGUCCGUUACAACGCCCUUAGGGAGGAAAUAGUAGCAGAUAGUAGCAGAUAUUACUACACCCUCAAAUGGAUUGUAGAAGUCCAGUUUACAAUAAUGGUACUUUCAGCACCAUAACCUGCUUUGGUUGUCUUGUCCAGCUCUCAAUGGUCCAAAAUGCUGUACAAUGGAUUAUGAUUUAAAAAUUGAAGAUAAAAGAUUAAGUUUUGAAUAUAUCUACUUUUUUUCUUUGAAGAUGGCAAAUCAAAUUAUUAAUUCAUUAAAAAUUCAGAAUAACUCAAAUCUUUACACCACACAAACGCGACAACAAAGAAUGUGCAAUGAAAAGAAUUGAGUUAUUGUUUGAAACAUCAAAAAUGUUAAAGUUUCACGCAUUGUUUUUUAUUUGAACAGCAAUUUUCAGAUCUCAGGACAAGUUUUCUUUGGAACACACUCAGGACAAGUUAUCUUUGGAAGACAUUAUAAAUUUCUGUUUUGCAAAAGAUUAAAAGUUUUGGAUACUUUCUUUUUUUCUUUGAAGAUAACAAAUCUAAUUAUUAAUUCAUUAAAAAUUCAGACUAACCCAAUUGUUUACACCACACAAACUUUCCGGAGGUAACAUAUUUAUUUUUUGUCCAUUCUUUUUUCUUUCUUUUUUUCUUUUUUUUAAAAUAUACUGCAGUGCCAACAAAGAAUGUGCAAUGACAAGAAAUGAGUUAUUGUUUGAAAAUCAAAAAUGUUAAAUGUUCACAUUGUUUUUAUUUGAACAGCAAUUUUCAGAUCUCAGGACAAGUUUUCUUUGGAACACAUUAUAAAUUUUUGUUUUUCAAAUGAUUUCAACUGACAUAAACAAGACUGGAAAGGUCGAAAUUACCAAAAUGCUAAUUUCACUAUUAUUGGUUCUUUUGUCGUGCCCAGCUCUUAAUGAUGGAAAACCCUGUAUCACAGUAACAUUCCUUUAAAUGAACUGGAGAAGUCUUGAUUACAAUAAUCAUAUUGCUUUUUACUUUUCAACACUAUUGGAUCUUGUGUCAUACCAGCUUUAGAUGGUGGAUGGAGUAUAUGGAGGUGUUAAGAAUUGCACAAGAGGUGUUCCUGCUACCUCUCUAUAUGUAGACAAUGUCACUGUUGUUGUGACGUUCUUAUUUCUAAGCCUUAAUUUAUGUCCGUUACAACGCCCUUAGGGAGGAAAAACUACACCCUCAAAUGGACUGUAGAAGUCCAGAUUACAAUAAUGGUACUUUCAGCACCAUUGCACGGUUUGGUUGUCUUGCCCAGCUCUUAAUGGUCCAAAAUGCUGUACAAUGGAUUAUGUUUUAAAAAUUGAAGAUAAAAGAUUAAGUUUUGAAUAUCUUCUUUUUUUCUCUGAAGAUGGCAAAUCAAAUUAUUAAUUCACGAGCUCUAGAUAAUAAAAAUAUCAGGUGUUAAAGUUUGGAGGUAUAAACAAGUCAUUCUCAAUCAAAAUAUUGCAAAAUUGUAAUGUUAGUGGAUUUUCUCAUUGUUGAAGCCCAUACAGUAACCUAUUUUACAUUAACAUCAUUUGGUCUCUGUAGGAUAGUUGUCUCACAUCUCUUGAUAUCACAACAAAUCAAUUUGUAGGUUCUAUAAAGUGGGCCAAUGGUGAAGGUAGGGGAAAUUUUGACUGUCAAUCGAGGAGGAAAUUAUUGGACAGAAAUUUGGCCUAACGCAACAAGCCAAGUCCUACUAACACCUCAAAAGAGUUGUGACAAGGGUUCUUCAACGUGCAGAGUUGCACUGUCCCUACAGAAAGGACCUAUACUUUUUAAACUGCCAUUCCAAUUUUUUUUGUUUUAAAUAUGAGAACUUUAGAAGACUUAAAGGUGGGGGUCAUAAAAAUAUCAAAAUUAUCCCACCCUCAAUGUUUAUUAUCUAGAACUAUGUUUUCUAUUUUGCUUUCAUAUUAUUUUUUGGUAUUUUCUUUUUUAUAUUUUUUUUUCUUUUUUUUUUUACAAAGCUCUAGAUAAUAAAAAUAUCAGAUGUUAAAGUUUGGAGGUAUAAACAAGUCAUUCUAAAUCAGAAUAUUGCAAAAUUUUAAUGUUAGUGGAUUUUCUCAUUGUUGAAGCCCAUACAGUAACCUAUUUUACAUUAACAUCAUUUGGUCUCUGUAGGAUAGUUGUCUCACAUCUCUUGAUAUCACAACAAAUCAAUUUGUAGGUUCUAUAAAGUGGUCCAAUCCUAUGGUGAAGGGAGGGGGAAUUUUGACUGCCAACCGAAGAGGAUAUUUUUGGACAGAAAUUUAGCCUAUUAAUGCAACAAGCCACAUCCUACUGACACCUCAAAAGAGUUGUGACAAGGGUUCUUUAACGUGCAGAGUGGCACUGUCUGUCCCUACAAAUAGGACCUAUACUUUCCCGCUACCUCUAUGUGUAGACAACAUCACUGUUGUGACAUUCUUAUUUCUAAGCCUUAAUUUAUGUCCGUUACAACGCCCUUAGGGAGGAAAUAGUAGCAGAUAUUACUACACCCUCAAAUGGAUUGUAGAAGUCCAGUUUACAAUAAUGGUACUUUCAGCACCAUAACCCGCUUUGGUUGUCUUGUCCAGCUCUUAAUGGUCCAAAAUGCUGUACAAUGGAUUAUGAUUUAAAAAUUGAAGAUAAAAGAUUAAGUUUUGAAUAUAUCUACUUUUUUUCUUUGAAGAUGGCAAAUCAAAUUAUUAAUUCAUUAAAAAUUCAGAAUAACUCAAAUCUUUACACCACACAAACGCGCCAACAAAGAAUGUGCAAUGAAAAGAAUUGAGUUAUUGUUUGAAACAUCAAAAAUGUUAAAGUUUCACGCAUUGUUUUUUAUUUGAACAGCAAUUUUCAGAUCUCAGGACAAGUUUUCUUUGGAACACACUCAGGACAAGUUAUCUUUGGAAGACAUUAUAAAUUUCUGUUUUGCAAAAGAUUAAAAGUUUUGGAUACUUUCUUUUUUUCUUUGAAGAUAACAAAUCUAAUUAUUAAUUCAUUAAAAAUUCAGACUAACCCAAUUGUUUACACCACACAAACUUUCCGGAUAACAUAUUUAUUUUUUGUCCAUUCUUUUUUCUUUCUUUUUUUAAAAUAUACUGCAGUGCCAACAAAGAAUGUGCAAUGACAAGAAAUGAGUUAUUGUUUGAAAAUCAAAAAUGUUAAAUGUUCACAUUGUUUUUAUUUGAACAGCAAUUUUCAGAUCUCAGGACAAGUUUUCUUUGGAACACAUUAUAAAUUUUUGUUUUUCAAAUGAUUUCAACUGACAUAAACAAGACUGGAAAGGUCGAAAUUACCAAAAUGCUAAUUUCACUAUUAUUGGUUCUUUUGUCGUGCCCAGCUCUUAAUGAUGGAAAACCCUGUAUCACAGUAACAUUCCUUUAAAUGAACUGGAGAAGUCUUGAUUACAAUAAUCAUAUUGCUUUUUACUUUUCAACACUAUUGGAUCUUGUGUCAUACCAGCUUUAGAUGGUGGAUGGAGUAUAUGGAGGUGUUAAGAAUUGCACAAGAGGUGUUCCUGCUACCUCUCUAUAUGUAGACAACGUCACUGUUGUUGUGACGUUCUUAUUUCUAAGCCUUAAUUUAUGUCCGUUACAACGCCCUUAGGGAGGAAAACUACACCCUCAAAUGGACUGUAGAAGUCCAGAUUACAAUAAUGGUACUUUCAGCACCAUUGCACGGUUUGGUUGUCUUGCCCAGCUCUUAAUGGUCCAAAAUGCUGUACAAUGGAUUAUGUUUUAAAAAUUGAAGAUAAAAGAUUAAGUUUUGAAUAUCUUCUUUUUUUCUCUGAAGAUGGCAAAUCAAAUUAUUAAUUCACGAGCUCUAGAUAAUAAAAAUAUC